AUAUAUAUAUAUAUAUAUAUACACAUCAUGCAGUCAGUUAGCUCCCGUGUAAUUAAAGCAUAUCUACAUAUAGCUCUAUAUAUAUAUAUAUAUACACAUCAUGCAGUCAGUUAGCUCCUGUGUAAUUAAAGCAUAUAUUUAUAGCUAUAUCUAUAUAUACAUCAUGCAGUCAGUUAGCUCCUGUGUAAUUAAAGCAUAUCUACAUAUAGCUAUAUAUAUAUAUAUAUACACAUCAUGCAGUCAGCUCCCGUGUAAUUAAAGCAUAUCUACAUAUAGCUAUAUAUAUAUAUAUAUACACAUCAUGCAGUCAGUUAGCUCCCGUGUAAUUAAAGCAUAUCUACAUAUAGCUAUAUAUAUAUAUAUAUAUAUACACAUCAUGCAGUCAGUUAGCUCCUGUGUAAUUAAAGCAUAUCUACAUAUUUAUAGCUAUAUCUAUAUAUACAUCAUGCAGUCAGUUAGCUCCUGUGUAAUUAAAGCAUAUAUUUAUAGCUAUAUCUAUAUAUACAUCAUGCAGUCAGUUAGCUCCUGUGUAAUAAAAAAAGCAGUUGGAAUAGUCUAUCAUAUACUUCUCUGGCUUCUUACACACUGUGCUGUCAGUGGGAUUUUACAAAUAUUAAAGGAAGAAAGCACUAAAUUGUAGAAAUAAUGUAAUAUAUUGCUCAGAUGCUUAUGUUUAAUAAGGCAUUUACUAUCAGCCAGCAUAGCUAACCUGCCUCUGUAUCCCAUAAUUAAAUUAGAAAACAAUACCUGUAGAUGAAUAGCAAGUUGCAAAAAAUGAAAAAUAGUUUUAAAUGAACUAAAAACGCACUCUCUUAAACUAAAAGAAACUCACUUUCUUUCAUACAGUUAGAAGAGUUUUUCCAUGUCAGUAGCCGUAAAACUGUCCUAUUGAGACCAUUCCCAGUCUGGGCUACUCCUCUGGGGCCUUCCAGGUCUAUAAGAGGGGGCUGGAUGUGGGAGGGUUUUUUUUAGUAUUCAGCCCACCAAGAGAAAUAACGGACAGGCUUAUAUUGACAUUGAGGUCACCCAUGUCCAUCCCCUUCUAACUGCUUUAGCAGCGCCUAUAGAAUUUAUAGGUGGUAGCUACCUGUCACAAGCUGUAGCCAUGUAUGUGACUGUAUCUUUAAUAAAGUGCCAUUAGUUGGAAACAAAAUGCGUCAGGUUUCUGGCCCACCUGAGGGUUAAGGAUUUGUUACGUUGUUAAAAUAACCAUUUUUUUACCAUUUGGCUUCAGUUUUUGGGCCACCAGUGGCCAGGUAGUUACUAUAAUUCCCGAGGCACUGAGAGGUUUUACCUCAUUUUAGUACUAAAAGUGUAAUUAACUGUGUGGUACAAAGCGGCUGCUCUUGCGCUAAGUGACGGUAAUGUUUAUUACAUCAGAUCGCAUAAAUACAAUCCUUAACUAGGUGACUCUUUACACGGUCAUUUUAUAUCAAAAAUACUUACUUUGUAAUCCCCCGUUAGAAUCAGCCCUGCCUGCCUCCUUGUUUUCCGCUAUACUGGUGAUACAGCCAAUAGGAAGCAUGCAAGUGUUUCAGUAGCAGCGCGCUCUCGCUGCAUGUAACUAAUGGUUUAGGUAAAAAUGUAUCAUUGGGAACUAAUUAACCCUUUAACUCUACAUUUAACCCCUUUAUCAAGUAGUUACUCACUGCCAUUUCUCGGAUAAUCAUAAGAACAUUUUACUACAUUAUUUUGUCUCACCGUUAUGCAAUAGCACAGCACAUUUAUAUUUAUUGUUAUCCCGAUAGCUGAUUGGCUGCUCCAUGGCACUGAAAAGCAUUUAGUAUUUACAUCUGAUCGGGUGCUGUUGGAAUAUAUAUAUAUAUACACGUGUACACAUGAUUUACAUCUGAUGAUCGGGUGCUGUUGUAAUAUAUAUAUAUAUAUACAUAUAUAUAUAUAUAUACACGUGUACACAUGAUUUACAUCUGAUGAUCGGGUGCUGUUGUAAUAUAUAUAUAUAUACGUGUACACAUAAUUUACAUCUGAUCGGGUGCUGUUGGAAUAUAUAUAUAUAUACACGUGUACACAUGAUUUACAUCUGAUGAUCGGGUGCUGUUGUAAUAUAUAUAUAUAUAUAUAUAUAUAUAUAUACACGUGUACACAUGAUUUACAUCUGAUGAUCGGGUGCUGUUGUAAUAUAUAUAUAUAUACACGUGUACACAUAAUUUACAUCUGAUCGGGUGCUGUUGGAAUAUAUAUAUAUAUACACGUGUACACAUGAUUUACAUCUGAUGAUCGGGUGCUGUUGUAAUAUAUAUAUAUAUACACGUGUACACAUAAUUUACAUCUGAUCGGGUGCUGUUGGAAUAUAUAUAUAUAUAUAUACACGUGUACACAUGAUUUACAUCUGAUCAGGUGCUGUUGGAAUAUAUAUAUAUAUAUACACGUGUACACAUGAUUUACAUCUGAUCAGGUGCUGUUGGAAUAUAUAUAUAUAUAUACACGUGUACACAUGAUUUACAUCUGAUCAGGUGCUGUUGGAAUAUAUAUAUAUAUAUAUACACGUGUACACAUGAUUUACAUCUGAUCAGGUGCUGUUGGAAUAUAUAUAUAUAUGUGUACACAUAAUUUACAUCUGAUCGGGUGCUGUUGGAAUAUAUAUAUAUAUAUAUAUGUGUACACAUAAUUUACAUCUGAUCAGGUGCUGUUGGAAUAUAUAUAUAUAUAUAUAUGUGUACACAUAAUUUACAUCUGAUCGGGUGCUGUUGGAAUAUAUAUAUAUAUAUAUACGUGUACACAUAAUUUACAUCUGAUCGGGUGCUGUUGGAAUAUAUAUAUAUAUAUACACGUGUACACAUGAUUUACAAAUGAAAUUGCUUGUGUUAUUGUUUAGAUAUUCGUAUAUACACACAAUGCUGCAUACAGUGUAUAUAGAUGCAUAGAAUACAUGAUGUCAUCUAUAAGUUCUCGCGCUCAGAUAUAUUAUUUGUUCCUAUGAACUGUUAGACCAGAAAACGGCUGCAUUCCAAAGCUUUCAAUCUGGACCAACGAGUUUUGCUCUUUCUAUUUUUAUGCUUAUUUUUCUAUUCUGUACGUUUAUUUUUAAUAAAGACAAAUUACACAACCGA